rnacentral:rRNA from 1 species
CCCUUAGAUGUUCUGGGCCGCACGCGCGCUACACUGACGAAUGCAACGAGCUUAUAACCUUGGCCGAAAGGUCUGGGUAAUCUCCAAAUUUCGUCGUGAUGGGGAUAGAUUAUUGCAAUUAUUAAUCUUCAACGAGGAAUGCCUAGUAAGCGCAAGUCAUCAGCUUGCGUUGAUUACGUCCCUGUCCUUUGUACACACCGCCCGUCGCUCCUACCGAUUGAAUGGUCCGGUGAAGCGUUCGGACCGUGGCCUUUGGACGGUUCGCCGUCUGUUGGCUGCGGGAAGUUCGUUAAACCUUAUCAUUUAGAGGAAGGAGAANUCGUAACA